CCUUCGGGUUGUAAAGCACUUUUAUCGGGAGCGAAAUACCAUUGGCUAAUAACCGAUGGGGCUGACGGUACCCGAGGAAUAAGCACCGGCUAACUUCGUGCCAGCAGCCGCGGUAAUACGAAGGGUGCAAGCGUUAAUCGGAAUUACUGGGCGUAAAGGGUGCGUAGGCGGUUAGUUAAGUCUGUUGUGAAAUCCCCGAGCUCAACCUGGGAAUGGCAAUGGAUACUGGCUAGCUAGAGUGUGUCAGAGGAUGGUGGAAUUUCCGGUGUAGCGGUGAAAUGCGUAGAGAUCGGAAGGAACAUCAGUGGCGAAGGCGGCCAUCUGGGACAACACUGACGCUGAAGCACGAAAGCGUGGGGAGCAAACAGGAUUAGAUACCCUGGUAGUCCACGCCCUAAACGAUGCGAACUGGAUGUUGGUCUCAACUCGGAGAUCAGUGUCGAAGCUAACGCGUUAAGUUCGCCGCCUGGGGAGUACGGUCGCAAGACUGAAACUCAAAGGAAUUGACGGAAUCACUA
rnacentral:rRNA from 1 species